rnacentral:rRNA from 1 species
GGUUAAGUGAAAAAGCGUACACGGUGGAUGCCUAGGCAGUCAGAGGCGAUGAAGGGCGUGCUAAUCUGCGAAAAGCGUCGGGAAGGUGAUAUGAACCGCUAUAGCCGACGAUACCCGAAUGGGGAAACCCGAUACAAUAAAUUGUAUCAUCAUGUUAUAAAUUCAUAGUAACAUGAAGCGAACCGGGGGAACUGAAACAUCUAAGUACCUCGAGGAAAAGAAAUCAAUUGAGAUUCCCUAAGUAGUGGCGAGCGAAUGGGGAAAUAGCCCAGAACCAUCAUCAGUUAUCGAAUUAGCAGAAGUGACUGGAAAGUUGCACAAUAAAGGGUGAUAGUCCCGUAUGCAAAAAUACGAUAAUUGUGAGUUCGAAGAGUAGGACGGGACACGUGAUAUCUUGUUUGAAUAUGGGGGGACCAUCCUCUAAGGCUAAAUACUACUGACUGACCGAUAGUGAACCAGUACCGUGAGGGAAAGGCGAAAAGAACCCCGAUAAGGGGAGUGAAAAGAACCUGAAACCGUGUACGUACAAGCAGUAGAAGCAUUUUUUAUGUGACUGCGUACCUUUUGUAUAAUGGGUCAGCGACUUGUAUUUUGUAGCAAGGUUAACCGUAUAGGGGAGCCGCAGGGAAACCGAGUCUUAAAUGGGCGAAAGUUGCAGGAUACAGACCCGAAACCCGGUGAUCUAGCCACGGGCAGGUUGAAGGUUAGGUAACACUAACUGGAGGACCGAACCGACUAAUGUUGAAAAAUUAGCGGAUGACCUAUGGUUAGGGGUGAAAGGCCAAUCAAACCGGGAGAUAGCUGGUUCUCCCCGAAAGCUAUUUAGGUAGCGCCUUGUAAUCUCAUCUUCGGGGGUAGAGCUCUGUUUUGGUCAGGGGGCCAUACCGGUUUGCCAAGCCAAUGCAAACUACGAAUACCGAAGAAUGCAAUUACAGGAGACACACGGCGGGUGCUAACGUCCGUCGUGAAGAGGGAAACAACCCAGACCGCCAGCUAAGGUCCCAAAGUCAUGGUUAAGUGGGAAACGAUGUGAGAAGGCUCAGACAGCCAGGAUGUUGGCUUAGAAGCAGCCAUCAUUUAAAGAAAGCGUAAAAGCUCACUGGUCGAGUCGGCUUGCGCGGAAGAUGUAACGGGGCUCAAACCAUGCACCGAAGCUGCGGCAUCGAAUGCAUCACUAAAAAUGUAUUAAAAGACAUUUUUAGUGAUGCAUUCGAUGGGUAGGGGAGCGUUCUGUAAAUCGCUGAAGGCAUGCUGUGAAGCAUGUUGGAGAUAUCAGAAGUGCGAAUGCUGACAUGAGUAACGAUAAAGCGGGUGAAAUGCCCGCUCGCCGAAAGACUAAGGGUUCCUGUCCAACGUUAAUCGAGGCAGGGUUAGUCGACACCUAAGGUGAGGCCGAAAGGCGUAAUCGAUGGACAACAGGUUAAUAUUCCUGUACUACUAUGACUGCAAAGGGGGGACGGAGAAGGCUAUGUUAGCCAGGCGUCGGUUGUCCUGGUUUAAGUAUGUAAGUCGAGUGUUAGAUAAAUCCUUUCACUCAUAAAGACUGAGGUGCAAUGACGAAGCGCUAAGGCGCUGAAGUAACAAAUGCCAUGCUUCCAGGAAAAGCCUCUAAGCAUCAGGUUAUAGUUAAUCGUACUCCAAACCGACACAGGUGGUCAGGUAGAGCAUACCUAGGCGCUUGAGAGAACCCGGGUGAAGGAACUAGGCAAAAUGGUGCCGUAACUUCGGGAGAAGGCACGCUGACAUUAAGGUAGAACGACAUGCUCGUCGAGCUAAAGUCAGUCGAAGAAAACAGCUAGCUGCAACUGUUUAUUAAAAACACAGCACUGUGCAAACACGAAAGUGGACGUAUACGGUGUGACGCCUGCCCGGUGCCGGAAGGUUAAUUGAUGGGGUUAUCUGUAAGGAGAAGCUCUUGAUCGAAGCCCCGGUAAACGGCGGCCGUAACUAUAACGGUCCUAAGGUAGCGAAAUUCCUUGUCGGGUAAGUUCCGACCUGCACGAAUGGCGUAAUGAUGGCUAGGCUGUCUCCACCCGGGACUCAGUGAAAUUGAAAUCGCUGUGAAGAUGCAGUGUACCCGCGGCAAGACGGAAAGACCCCGUGAACCUUUACUAUAGCUUGACACUGAACACUGAUUUUUAAUGUGUAGGAUAGGUGGGAGGCUAUGAAACGAAAACGCUAGUUAUCGUGGAGCCAAUCUUGAAAUACCACCCUUUAAGUUUUAUUGUUCUAACCUGGCACCGUUAACCGGUGUGGGGACAGUGUCUGGUGGGUAGUUUGACUGGGGCGGUCUCCUCCUAAAGAGUAACGGAGGAGCACUAAGGUCAGCUAAUCACGGUCGGAUAUCGUGAGGUUAGUGCAAUGGCAUAAGCUGGCUUGACUGCGAGAGUGACGAUUCGAGCAGGUGCGAAAGCAGGUCAUAAUGAUCCGGUGGUUCUGUAUGGAAGGGCCAUCGCUCAACGAAUAAAAGGUACUCCGGGGAUAACAGGCUGAUACCGCCCAAGAGUUCAUAUCGACGGCGGUGUUUGGCACCUCGAUGUCGGCUCAUCACAUCCCGGGGCUGAAGCAGGUCCCAAGGGUACGGUUGUUCGCCGUUUAAAGUGGUACGCGAGCUGGGUUUAGAACGUCGUGAGACAGUUCGGUCCCUAUCUGCCGUGGGCGUUGGAAAAUUGAGAGGGGUUGCCCCUAGUACGAGAGGACCGGGGUGAACGUACCGCUGGUGUUCGGGUUGUCAUGCCAAUGGCAUUGUCCGGUAGCUAAGUACGGAAAAGAUAAGCGCUGAAAGCAUAUAAGCGCGAAACUUGCCUCAAGAUGAGUUUUCCCAGACUCUUAAAGAGUCCUAAAGGGACGUUGAAGACUACGACGUUGAUAGGUUGGGUGUGUAAGCAUAGCAAUAUGUUGAGCUAACCGAUACUAAUGACCCGUGAGGCUUAACCUU